rnacentral:rRNA from 1 species
UCUUGAACAUUAAAAUUAUUAGUUGUGUGAUUUAUAAAGUCUAAGAUAAAAUAAUAAAGAGUAUGUUAUGUUGGGGCGACAGAGAUAUAGAAAACUUAACUGUUUAGUUAACUUAACAAUGAUAAUUGAAUUUAAGAUCCUUUAUAAAGAUUAUAAGAUUAAGUU